UACGUAGGGGGCUAGCGUUGUCCGGAUUCACUGGGUUUAAAGGGUGCGUAGGUGGGUUGGUAAGUCAGUGGUGAAAUCUCCGAGCUUAACUUGGAAACUGCCAUUGAUACUAUCAGUCUCGAAUAUUGUGGAGGUCAGCGGAAUAUGUCAUGUAGCGGUGAAAUGCUUAGAUAUGACAUAGAACACCAAUUGCGAAGGCAGCUGGCUACACAUAUAUUGACACUGAGGCACGAAAGCGUGGGGAUCAAACAGG
rnacentral:rRNA from 1 species